rnacentral:rRNA from 1 species
AGACCCGAAACCCGGUGAUCUAGCCAUGGGCAGGUUGAAGGUUGGGUAACACUAACUGGAGGACCGAACCGACUAAUGUUGAAAAAUUAGCGGAUGACCUGUGGCUGGGGGUGAAAGGCCAAUCAAACCGGGAGAUAGCUGGUUCUCCCCGAAAGCUAUUUAGGUAGCGCCUCGUGAAUUCAUCUCCGGGGGUAGAGCACUGUUUCGGCUAGGGGGCCAUCCCGGCUUACCAACCCGAUGCAAACUGCGAAUACCGGAGAAUGUUAUCACGGGAGACACACGGCGGGUGCUAACGUCCGUCGUGAAGAGGGAAACAACCCAGACCGCCAGCUAAGGUCCCAAAGUCAUGGUUAAGUGGGAAACGAUGUGGGAAGGCCCAGACAGCCAGGAUGUUGGCUUAGAAGCAGCCAUCAUUUAAAGAAAGCGUAAUAGCUCACUGGUCGAGUCGGCCUGCGCGGAAGAUGUAACGGGGCUAAACCAUGCACCGAAGCUGCGGCAGCGAACGUAUCACCCAAGACAACUUUGCGGAGUUGACGAUUGACGGAGCGAAGCG